rnacentral:snoRNA from 1 species
UUCCCAGUGAGGAAUCCAAGACCUACUGAUAGUAAGUGUCGUAUGAUGCUGUAAACAGCAGCUGCUUUUCUCCUUUGCAAGGUGUCCAUCCUUCGACCAUCACCUUGUUGGUUUGGUCUGGGUUGGAGUACUCAUUUGCUUGCGUGUGUGAUUUUAAAUGGGUUUCCUAGGGAU